GAUUAACGCUAGCGGCAGGCCUAAUACAUGCAAGUCGGACGGGAUUUCGGGUAGCAAUAUCUGAAUGAGAGUGGCGCACGGGUGCGUAACACGUAUGCAAUCUGCCUCUGACUGGGGAAUAGCCUUCCGAAAGGAAGAUUAACACCGCAUAAAAUAAUGAAGUGGCAUCACUUUAUUAUCAAAACUCCGGUGGUCAGAGAUGAGCAUGCGUCCGAUUAGCUAGUUGGUGAGGUAACGGCUCACCAAGGCGACGAUCGGUAGGGGGUCUGAGAGGAUGAUCCCCCACACUGGUACUGAGACACGGACCAGACUCCUACGGGAGGCAGCAGUAAGGAAUAUUGGACAAUGGUCGCAAGACUGAUCCAGCCAUGCCGCGUGAAGGAUGAAUGCCCUAUGGGUUGUAAACUUCUUUUAAACGGGAAAAAACCCCUCUACGUGUAGAGGGCUGAUGGUACCGUAAGAAUAAGGAUCGGCUAACUUCGUGCCAGCAGCCGCAGUAA
rnacentral:rRNA from 1 species